GACGAACGCUGGCGGCGUGCCUAAUACAUGCAAGUAGAACGCUGAAGGAGGAGCUUGCUCUUCUGGAUGAGUUGCGAACGGGUGAGUAACGCGUAGGUAACCUGCCUGGUAGCGGGGGAUAACUAUUGGAAACGAUAGCUAAUACCGCAUAACAGUAGAUGUUGCAUGACAUUUGCUUAAAAGGUGCAAUUGCAUCACUACCAGAUGGACCUGCGUUGUAUUAGCUAGUUGGUGGGGUAACGGCUCACCAAGGCGACGAUACAUAGCCGACCUGAGAGGGUGAUCGGCCACACUGGGACUGAGACACGGCCCAGACGCCUACGGGAGGCAGCAGUAGGGAAUCUUCGGCAAUGGACGGAAGUCUGACCGAGCAACGCCGCGUGAGUGAAGAAGGUUUUCGGAUCGUAAAGCUCUGUUGUAAGAGAAGAACGAGUGUGAGAGUGGAAAGUUCACACUGUGACGGUAUCUGACCAGAAAGGGACGGCUAACUACGUG
rnacentral:rRNA from 1 species